GAUCCAAUAGCACAAUGGUUAGUGCGCCUGCUAACAUUGUGUAGGGAAAAUGUUGGGUAUGCGGGAGGUCCCUGUUCGAUUCGGGGUUGGGUCG